AGAACGCUUAACCCAGGGGCUGCCCUAUGUGUAUCCUCUUGGACCUAUAGUGGCUGAAUGUCCUUUUUGAGAUCCUGCAGCUGUUGACCCUGAGUGGGAGAAUGCCUUAUCCAGGUGUAGUCUUGUGCACACCUUUCCAGACCCAUAGCAGUGGUUUGGUUGCAGAGCUGUGAUUAUAUGGACAUUCUCCACACUUGGUAUACAGCAGUUCAGACAUGCAGCCCCGU